UCCCUGGUGGCUCAGAGGUUAAAGCAUCUGCUUGCAAUGCAGGAGACCUGGGUUCGAUCCCUGGGUUGGGAA
rnacentral:tRNA from 1 species